AAUGAACGCUGGCGGCGUGGUUAAGACAUGCAAGUCGAACGCCCCGCAAGGGGAGUGGCAGACGGGUGAGUAACGCGUGGGAAUCUACCCAUCUCUACGGAACAACUCCGGGAAACUGGAGCUAAUACCGUAUACGCCCUACGGGGGAAAGAUUUAUCGGGGAUGGAUGAGCCCGCGUUGGAUUAGCUAGUUGGUGGGGUAAAGGCCUACCAAGGCGACGAUCCAUAGCUGGUCUGAGAGGAUGAUCAGCCACAUUGGGACUGAGACACGGCCCAAACUCCUACGGGAGGCAGCAGUGGGGAAUAUUGGACAAUGGGCGCAAGCCUGAUCCAGCCAUGCCGCGUGAGUGAUGAAGGUCUUAGGAUUGUAAAGCUCUUUCACCGAUGAAGAUAAUGACGGUAGUCGGAGAAGAAGCCCCGGCUAACUUCGUGCCAGCCGCCGCCGUAACAC
rnacentral:rRNA from 1 species